GCGACCCCAGGUCAGGCGGGAUUACCCGCUGAAUUUAAGCAUAUCAAUA
rnacentral:rRNA from 2 species